rnacentral:rRNA from 1 species
GCCUACGGCCAUCCCACCCUGGCAACGCCUGAUCUCGUCCGAUCUGGGAAGCUAAGCAGGGUCGGGCCUGGUUAGUACUUGGAUGGGAGACCUCCUGGGAAUACCGGGUGCUGUAGGUU